UACGUAGGGGGCAAGCGUUGUCCGGAAUCAUUGGGCGUAAAGCGCGCGUAGGCGGCCCGGUAAGUCCGUUGUGAAAGUCGAAGGCUCAACCUUUGAACGCCGAUGGAUACUGCCGGGCUAGAGUCCGGAAGAGGCGAGUGGAAUUCCUGGUGUAGCGGUGGAAUGCGCAGAUAUCAGGAGGAACACCAAUAGCGAAGGCAGCUCGCUGGGACGGUACUGACGCUGAGGCGCGAAAGCCAGGGGAGCGAACGGG
rnacentral:rRNA from 1 species